CGCUCUUUGCUAGGCGGCUACAAACGCGAUGGUGUCAUGGCAGACACAGCACAGACAUGGAGGCACUGCACUGAACACGUGCCGCUUCUGCCUGCGUCGCGCCCUAAACAAGCAAUAGGGAUUUAAAGACACUGCACACCUACUAUCUCGGCUCUAAGGAGAUGAAUUUGUAAAAACUCAACUGAAGGCAGAGAGUGUACUCCGGGUAUCUGUGAGGUGACGGGCUAAUCUGCAAGAGUCUUCAAGGUGUAAGUGCAGGGCAGCUAGGAGAAGCUGAAGAUGCCUAUGGAUUAAGCCUACAAACCUGUAGAUGAAGAUCCUAUGGUGGUGAGACUAGAGUUGCUAGCUGACUAUUUCAACAUGGAAAUGCAUAGAGACAUGUUAACUGACAAGGACGCCGGAUCCUCUUCGGUGUCCUGUUGCCAGCAGCUCGCGAGGGCUUGUUCCGUGAAUCUUGGGCGCCUCCACUCGGCCAACGUGACGUCACUCCACGAGCCGAGCCUGGUGUGGACUACUGUGCCAGGUACAGCAGCAUCACCGGACGCGCCGGGAAAUAGUACAAAUGCGGAGUUUUUACGAAAUACCUCGCUAACUAGACAUCAACAGCACGUAACGUGAUAUCAGCUAUUCACAUCUAGAUUAUUUGUAUAAGCAUAAACAUAUUCAUAAUCAUGACUACACUACACACAUGUUAUAUGUAAAACUGUUAAAUAGGGAAUAUUACGCGAAACUCUGCGUAGGGGGCGCCAUUACCAUAAUCCAUCACAAUCUGAGGGUAUACCGCGAAACAAGAAAAUCGAAAUUUCGUUAUCUAACCUCUCUAUCACUCUUACAUAUUCGAGCGAUGAAGAGGCAGAUAACUAAUUUUCGCCUUUCCCGGAAGGCCCUUUGUAAACAAUCCGCCUUGAUGCAACAGUGUCAUAUUAUAUUAUCUGUGAAAACUUGACAAAAAAGAGUUUAAGGCACAUUAUGUAUAAGUUAUUUUAUGAUUUACGAAAGAUGCCAAUGCUGCACUCUGGCGGCAGAACAUUGCAGUAAUACUCACUAUUAUCAUAGGUACAGUCAUGAAUAUGUAUACAUUUUUUCACCUUAUUCUUAGGUUAAGAAACGUAUACAUAUUUAUGAACUCGACUGUACCUGGACAGGCAUAUGAGGAUUUUUGUUAUUUAGGUAGAAGCAGUUUUUCGACCCAUUUAUGUAAUUUAUUGUCGUUUAAGGCAUCAUAAACGGAUCACACAUGCUAUUAUUUAUCAUGACUUGUGUAUAAGAGCCAUGUAAAGAAUAAUUACGUCUAUAUAUACGUAUAUGUACGUCUGGGGGCAUUCAGGAAAGUGUCGGAUACGUGACGCUGUUUUUAUUUCUAAAAACGAAAAAACUGUUUGGCAUGAUAACAUUUGAUAACUUGGCUUUAAAUUCAUCUGUAUAUAUACAGAUUUCUACAAGUCCCCACACGCGUGCGGGAAUGAGCACUUUCCGUGCGUAUGUCGAAACUUUAAAGAGUCAUAUGUACUGUAAAACAUUGUAGGAUACACAUGCGAAUAGGUAAUGGGGUUGGCCGGUCGAAGUAUUAAACAGAUGGCGCCAUCAUAGCUUGCCCUGUCAAUCCCUAGAAUUGUGUCAAAUUCUUUUUUUUUUUUUUUUUAUUUUGUGACCUAGAUUCCAGUAAUUUAAGCCAAAUCUCAUAGAACAAAACUAGAGACAGGGGCAAGCUAUGAUGGCGCCAUCUAUGCAAACCUUUGACAGUUGCCAACCCCAUUCGCAACUCGUCCCGAUUUAAAACACUCCCUUCGGUAGUGUUUUAAUUUAUCACCACUCGUUGCGAAUUUCCUAUUUUCUGCACUUGUAUCGUAAAUGACUAUUGUGCAUUAACGCCUUGCCUAAGAUGGAUAUGGGGCUCACGUAACCGAUAGGGUCGAAUAGCGACAUCGCGCUGCUUGUAACCUGUCGCUUUGUAGGUAAUUUCUGACCGUUGAGUACGUCCUCGGGCGUGUUACGAAAAUUCACGUUAAAGCCUAGGGUGUCACGCUUGUGAUUCCAUUUCAACCCUAAUGUACGCUCGUUCUCGUUCGCGCCUAACAGAGACGUCUCCUCUUUACUGUUAACUACGUCAGAUAUUACCGCAGGAUUAUUCGAUGCGAAUCCGCGGAGCUCUAGUGACGCGCGCAUAUUUAGCUCGUAAAUAUCGUUUAAAACGCGUCUCGCGUCCUCCUCGCACAUGUCUAGGGCAAUUAACAUGUCCAUAUACGUAUUUUUUAUCGUUUUUUCAGCGGCGAUCGGGAAUACUUUGCUGUGCGUUUUUGCAUUUUCGUUUUUGACGUACAGAGCGGUUGUCGGUGACGCUGCCGAUCCAAUUAGUCGCUUCAUUCUGUAUUCUUGCGGUGGAGAGGUACGGUCCUCCCCCCUCCAAACGAAACGUAACGCAUCGCGAUCUUGCUCCCUUAUCUCAAUUUGUAAAAACAUCUCUUUGACGUCGGCUAUGACCGCGAUUUUGC